rnacentral:rRNA from 1 species
CCUACGGGGUGCAGCAGUGAGGAAUAUUGGUCAAUGGACGAGAGCCUGAACCAGCCAAGUAGCGUGAAGGAUGACUGCCCUCUGGGUUGUAAACUUCUUUUAUAUGGGAAUAAAACAUGGUAUGCAUACCCUCUUGUAUGUACCAUCUGAAUAAGGAUCGGCUAACUCCGUGCCAGCCGCCGCGGUAAUACUGAGGAUCCGAGCGUUAUCCUGAUUUGUGUGGUUUAAAGGGAGCGUAGGUGGGUUGUUAAGUCAGUUGUGAAAGUUUUGGGCUCAACCGUAAAAUUGAAGUUGAUACUGGCAGCCUUGAGUACAGUAGAGGGAGGCAGAAUGCGUGGUGUAGCGGUGAAAUGCUUAGAUAUCACGAAGAACUCCGAUUGCGAAGGCAGCUCACUGGACUGCAACUGACACUGAUGCUCGAAAGUGUGGGUAUCAAACAGGAUUAGAUACCCGAGUAGUC